rnacentral:rRNA from 2 species
AGAAUUUUAAAAGUCGAACAGACUCAAUAAUUUAACUUCUGCAUUAAAUAUUUAUUCUAAUCCAACAUCGAGGUCACAAUCAAUAAUUUUAAUAAGAACUUAAAAUUAUUAUUAUG